GAUGAACGCUGGCGGCGUGCCUAAUACAUGCAAGUCGAGCGAACAGAUGAGGAGCUUGCUCCUCUGACGUUAGCGGCGGACGGGUGAGUAACACGUGGAUAACCUACCUAUAAGACUGGGAUAACUUCGGGAAACCGGAGCUAAUACCGGAUAAUAUAUUGAACCGCAUGGUUCAAUAGUGAAAGACGGUUUUGCUGUCACUUAUAGAUGGAUCCGCGCCGCAUUAGCUAGUUGGUAAGGUAACGGCUUACCAAGGCAACGAUGCGUAGCCGACCUGAGAGGGGUAUGCGCCAACCGGGAAGCGCGCCGCGUCCACGCACCCCACGGGAGGCAGCGUGUGGGAUUUUGCCGGAAUGGGCAAAACCCAGCAGGAGGAACCCCGGGGGGGUGAGGAAGGUUUUCGGUUCGAAAACCUGUUUUAUGGGGGAAGAAAAAAUUUGAAAACAAACAGCCCGCUUUUGGCGGCACCAAAUCAAAACCCCCCGGCUACCCCCGG
rnacentral:rRNA from 1 species